UGUGGGGAGAGUGAAUUUGGCUUCUGUUAUUGGCUUCUGCUCAGUGGUCCAAAGGAAUGACUGUGAUCACUUUGUGCACAGUAGUACAGUUUGGAGUUGUCCCCUGGUAGGCUGUAGUGGCGGGUUUCGUCAGUUCAUUUCUUGUAGUGUUGUGGUGAACGUGGAUUGUAGCAUUUGUCUCAGAGGCACAACCGUGGUGUCAGAAUGGUUGCCGGUCGUCUCUCCACCCCAUCGGGCUUCAGUCCGUACCAGUUGCUGAGUUGGACAGAAAUAGCAGGUCAGGGAGGUGCCUGAAGAGAGCAGAGGGUCGUUGGUGCAAUUGGGAGGACGUGUGUCCAGGGUUCCCAGAAAGAUUAAGAUGCCUGUCUCCAGUUUGAGAGCUGUCUCCCCACUGUUUGGUUUCUGCUUUGGUGUUGGGUGUGUUUUUGGUUUUGCACCAUACAACAUUGCUUUAGCAUACCUUUCACACAUCCACUCACCUACACUACUGAUAAUAUUGAUUUUCACACGCCAUGUUUGUCUUGUUUUUGGGUAUAAUUAGGUUAUUUUAAAUGUGAAUUUGCUUUUAAAUGCGUCAGUGUGAGUCUCCCUUUUAUCAUGGCCCUUGAGCCAGGUCGCGACACAUGGAUUAUGACAUUGUUUGAAGGAAACGUGUUCGAUCAAGUUUAUGUACGAAAAUUUAGGGAAUAUGUUAAAUUAUUUAUUGUAUACACAUAAUAUACAUAACAAUGUAACUACUGUUUAUUUCACAAAAAAUGUGUACACCCACAACCUAAUUCCCACCACUGCAAAAGAAAUUGUCCCAAUAACUAAGAGCAGUGAAAUUUUGCAAGGUUUUUUGCAAGAUGUCCAAAACCUCUCCAAAU